rnacentral:rRNA from 1 species
GACAGAGGGUGCAAACGUUGUUCGGAAUUACUGGGCGUAAAGGGCGUGUAGGCGGUCUGUUAAGUCAUGUGUGAAAUCCCUCGGCUCAACCGGGGAACGACGCAUGAAACUGACAAGCUAGAGUACCAAAGAGGAGAGUGGAAUUCCUGGUGUAGCGGUGAAAUGCGCAGAUAUCAGGAAGAACACCCGUGGCUAAGGCGGCUCUCUAGUACGGUACUGACGCUGAGACGCGAAAGCGUGGGGAGCGAACAGG